rnacentral:rRNA from 1 species
UACAGAGGGUGCAAGCGUUAAUCGGAUUUACUGGCGUAAAGGGCGCGACAGGCGGCCAGAUUUGUCAGGCGUGAAAGCCCCGGGCUCAACCUGGGAAUGGCGCCUGGGACGGUUUGGCUAGAGAUCGGGAGAGGAGCGUGGAAUUCCCAGUGUAGAGGUGAAAUUCGUAGAUAUUGGGAAGAACACCGGUGGGCGAAAGGG